UGGAAGGGUGUGUACGGAAGUGAAGAGAAAUAGAUUAUCUGAGAGCCCUAUAAAAUUAGCAGCCCUGAGCCUCAGCUCAGACCCUCAUUCCUCCGAAGAGUCUGCUGGGAUAACAACCAUGCUCUCAUCUACGGGCUCCCUUGUGGCCAGCCUGUGGGCAGGGCUCCAUCUCUGGACUCUGCUGCUGGCUGCUGUCACCUUCUUGUUCCUGAUUGACUACCUCAAAAGCCGGCGCCCCAAGAACUUUCCGCCAGGGCCACGACGUCUGCCCUUCGUGGGCAAUUUACUGCAGUUGGACGUGAAGCAGCCACACCUGGGAGUCCAGCAGUUUGUGAAGAAAUAUGGGAAUAUUUUUAGCCUGAAUCUUGGUAAUUUAAGUUCAGUAAUCAUAACUGGACUCCCCUUAAUCAAAAAAGUCUUUACUCAAAUGGAACAAGAUAUUUUGAACCGCCCUGUCACUCUUAUCCGAGAACGUAUCUCUAAGAACAAUGGAGUGCUCUUCUCCAGUGGCCAGACAUGGAAGGAACAAAGAAGGUUCACUCUGAUGACGCUGAGGAACUUUGGGUUGGGAAAGAAGAGCUUAGAGCAGCGCAUGCAGGAGGAGGCCCAUCACCUUGUAGAGGUCAUAAAAGAGGAAAAAGGACAGCCUUUCAAUCCUCACUUCAGUAUCAAUAACGCAGUUUCCAAUAUCAUUUGCUCCAUCACCUUCGGGGAGCGCUUUGAGUACCAUGACAGUCAGUUUCAGGAGAUGCUGAAGCUUCUGGAUGAGGCCACAUGUUUGGAAGGAUCAGUGAUGUGCCAGCUCUACAAUAUUUUCCCAUGGAUAAUGAAAUAUCUUCCUGGAUCACAUCAAACAGUUUUCAGAAACUGGGGAAAACUGAAAUCGUUUGUUUCUCCUAUGAUUGACAAUCACCGGAGAGACUGGAACCCUGAUGAGCCAAGAGACUUCAUCGAUGCUUUCCUCACGGAAAUGACAAAGUACCCAGAGAAGAGUACAAGUUUCAGUGAAGAAAACCUCAUCUGGACCACUCUGGACCUUUUCCUUGCUGGAACUGAAACAACAUCCACGACCCUGCGCUGGGCUCUGCUCUACAUGGCUCUCUACCCAGAUGUCCAAGAAAAAGUACAGGCUGAGAUUGACAGAGUGAUUGGCCAGAUGAGACAGGCAAGCCUGGCCGACCGAGAGUCCAUGCCCUACACCAAUGCUGUCAUCCACGAGGUGCAGAGAAUGGGCAACAUUGUCCCCUUUAAUGGUCCCAGGGAAGUGUCAAAGGACACAAAUUUGGAUGGAUUCCACUUGCCAAAGGUUGUCAGCUUGUGGGAGAGAGACAGUCAGGGAAAGUCUGCUACCAUUUGUUGAUUAACUCCGGAAAUGUGUUCAUACAUAAGAUGAUGAAAGCAUACUACAGAGUGUGUAAUGAAAUUCAUGGGAGGUGUCAGAGUCAUCACCUUAAUGGCACACUUCACUGUUAGUUGUGCAGCAGAUGUGGGACUGAGAUAGCAAGGGGCAGCCUGCACUAAGACGUUUCUCAGAAUCAGGUAUGGACAAAAUCAAGAGAGAUUGGAAGAAGAGCUAAAUAUCACUCAUAAGGUGGAUGAUUCAGUGUGAGGUCAGAGCAAACUCUGGGGAGUCCAGGCACCAUGCCUGUGAUCCAGAUAGAAUAAGCUUGCAUGCUCUUCUUUCUUUAUGUGCUCCUAACCCUGAGGAAUGGGAUCAGAAUCCUCCACAUUGAGGACUAAAAAUGGAAAAGCAGAGAUGGAAGGCUCAUCAUUUCCCUUCAUACACCUGCCCAGGUCCUUAAGGUAGGAGGAGGCUGAUUUGGUCUUUAUUCUUGCCUGCCUCUUUAUUCUCCUUUGAUGCUUACAUGUCUCUCCAUAGACCUGUACACAUUUCUUCCUAUAGAAUUGUGUCCAGCAUUAAAGAGCAACCUAAUGGACAAGAAUAGCCCCAGAAAGGAACUCACAGUCAAUGUUGAGUUAUCUCAACAAAGGAGAAGGGUACCAUAAUUUUAACCAACCUGACUGCACUACACAGUGACCCCAAAGAGUGGGCCACCCCAGAAACCUUCAAUCCAGAGCACUUUUUGGAGAAUGGACAGUUUAAGAAGAGAGACUCCUUUCUGCCUUUCU